UAACCUGCGGAGGGAUCAUUACUGAGUUUACGCUCUACAACCCUUUGUGAACAUACCUAUAACUGUUGCUUCGGCGGGUAGGGUCUCCGUGACCCUCCCGGCCUCCCGCCCCCGGGCGGGUCGGCGCCCGCCGGAGGAUAACCAAACUCUGAUUUAACGACGUUUCUUCUGAGUGGUACAAGCAAAUAAUCAAAACUUUUAACAACGGAUCUCUUGGUUCUGGCAUCGAUGAAGAACGCAGCGAAAUGCGAUAAGUAAUGUGAAUUGCAGAAUUCAGUGAAUCAUCGAAUCUUUGAACGCACAUUGCGCCCGCCAGCAUUCUGGCGGGCAUGCCUGUUCGAGCGUCAUUUCAACCCUCAAGCUCUGCUUGGUGUUGGGGCCCUACAGCUGAUGUAGGCCCUCAAAGGUAGUGGCGGACCCUCCCGGAGCCUCCUUUGCGUAGUAACUUUACGUCUCGCACUGGGAUCCGGAGGGACUCUUGCCGUAAAACCCCCAAUUCUCCAAAGGUUGACCUCGGAUCAGGUAGGAAUACCCGCUGAACUUAAGCAUAUCAAU
rnacentral:rRNA from 1 species